UACAGGCUACAAGCAAAUGUUCUCCUCCAUCUCCGAUCUCUUUUCUCUACAAGCAAAUCUGAACCAAGUGAAUAAUUAUGCCGAUGGUGAUUUCGUUGUGUCUAUGGAGAUUAUGAAAUUGAUUCUGAAUUGAGUAUUGCGUGAAGUAUACCAGUAAGCAUCUAGGGUUUUUCUUCCUUUGCUCGAUUGUUAUCCGCGUUGCUGAGAAGAGAUUAAGCAAAGUCCACGUUGCAGACCGCAACCGCCACCGGUCAUUCCAUCUGACGAGGAUCCCGCCAUCUCCUUUGUUCGGUUCACCGGCGAGAUGUCCAGAAGCCGAUCUGCCACUUCUGAUUCAAAUCAGAGAAGACGAGUAUGUCGUGGCAACCAACUUGCUCGCAGCAAAGAGGUCAUGUCUUUAUAUAUCAUUGAUCUUUUGAUUGUUCUUGUUGUUUGGAAGUGAAGCAAGAAUGGCAAGAACUAAACAACCCAAAGUUGCCACUGAAGAAGCUAAGAACUGUUUGAAGACGACGAUGAGUUUAGAAAGUUUAAACUCGAUGAUGUUUUGUUUGUAGGGGGUGUUUGGAUACACAUAUUCAAGGUGGCAGAUGCAUUGAAGGAACGGGGGAUUGAUUUGAGUAGAAAUGUAAUUGGGGUUCUUAAGAGUGGGGCUGCAAUAAAUUUCUGGAAGGAUUGCUGGAUCGGGUCUGACCCACUAGAAUUAUAAUUUCCAGCUUUGUAUGAGAUAGAAAGUUCUAAAAUGUGUUGUAUUGCUGAAGGUUGAAAUGGAUCCUAGAUGGAAUAACCUGGUCAUGGAGUUGGAAAAGGUAGCCAAACAUGAUAGCAGAAUUUAGAGAAUUUACCCAAAUUGUAAUGUUGUGUUAGAAAGUAGUGUUUGGGGUAGGGGAAGAUAGGUAGCAAUGGGCGAUAGAUAUAACGAGGGGUUCACGAUCAAAAGUUUGAAGGGCAUAAUUCAGGAGUUGUGUUGGGAAGUUCAUGCACAGGUCUAUGCAUGGAAUAAGUGGGUUCCAAAAGGAAGUUGAUGUGCUCGGGUGGCAAGCGAGAUCGGACCUGCUCCCAACACUUGCGACCCUAGCUAAAAGAAAAUUAUUAUUUCCAUCAAUUUGUGUCUGAUAUGUGGGGUAUAUGAAGAAACAACGUAACAUGUGUUUGUACCAUGUGCGUGGGCGCAAUCGGUAUGGCAAAUUGUUUCAUAAUGGUGCAAGAUACUUGCAUUUUUUGCCUUUCAUGUGAAAAACUUGCUGGGAAUGCAUAGAUACAUUAAUGUGUCCACGAAAAGAUCAGCCAUGCUAAAAAUUCGGUCACGAUGUGGGUUUUGUGGAAGAACCGGAAUGAGCGGGUGUUUAAUGAGAGGAUGUCGUCAUUGCAAAAAAUUGUGGAAGAGAUCAAAGUCCUUCUAUGGAUCCGAAACACGUCAAGAAUGGUUACUCUAACCUGGGUUGUAUGUUGUAACAUUGAUGCAUAUAAUGAUGUACAUAGGUGAAUGACUUUACCUUUUUGCUUUCCCUGUUUUGAAUAAAAUACUUUGUUGGCGAUUGUAUACCCGGAUUUUUAAUUUAUAUUUUUAUUUUCCAUUAA